GUGGUUGUAGCUCAGUGGUAGAGCGUUCGCCUAUCACGUGUGAGACACUGGGUUCAAUCAUCAGCACCAUA
rnacentral:tRNA from 1 species